rnacentral:snoRNA from 1 species
UCUGCAGUGUUGCAGAAGAGCUAUGCCUUCAAUCUGUGCAUACAUAUCCCUAGAACUUGUCAGAGUCUUGGACAAUGACUGAGGAGGCAAAACAGGCAGAUCCAGAC